rnacentral:rRNA from 1 species
GACGAACGCUGGCGGCGUGCUUAACACAUGCAAGUCGAACGGAAAGGCCCUGCUUUUGUGGGGUGCUCGAGUGGCGAACGGGUGAGUAACACGUGAGUAACCUGCCCUUGACUUUGGGAUAACUUCAGGAAACUGGGGCUAAUACCGGAUAGGAGCUCCUGCUGCAUGGUGGGGGUUGGAAAGUUUCGGCGGUUGGGGAUGGACUCGCGGCUUAUCAGCUUGUUGGUGGGGUAGUGGCUUACCAAGGCUUUGACGGGUAGCCGGCCUGGGAGGGUGACCGGCCCCAUCGUGACUGCGAUACGGCCCCGACUCCCACUGGAGGCAGCAGUGGGGAAUAUUGCAGAAUGGGCGGAAGCCUGAUGCCGCAACGCCGCGUGCGGGAUGUCGGCUUUCGGGUUGUAACCCGCUUUCGCCUGUGACGAAGCGUGAGUGACGGUAAUGGGUAAAGAAGCACCGGCUAACUACGUG